rnacentral:rRNA from 1 species
CGGACGGGUGAGUAAUGCCUAGGAAUCUGCCUGGUAGUGGGGGACAACGUUUCGAAAGGAACGCUAAUACCACAUACGUCCUACGGGAGAAAGCAGGGGACCUUCGGGCCUUGCGCUACCAGAUGAGCCUAGGUCGGAUUAGCUAGUUGGUGAGGUAAUGGCUCACCAAGGCGACGAUCCGUAACUGGUCUGAGAGGAUGAUCAGUCACACUGGAACUGAGACACGGUCCAG